rnacentral:rRNA from 1 species
UACGGAGGGUGCAAGCGUUAAUCGGAAUCACUGGGCGUAAAGGGUGCGUAGGCGGGUCUUUAAGUCAGGGGUGAGAUCCUGGAGCUCAACUCCAGAACUGCCUUUGAUACUGAGGAUCUUGAGUUCGGGAGAGGUGAGUGGAACUGCGAGUGUAGAGGUGAAAUUCGUAGAUAUUCGCAAGAACACCAGUGGCGAAGGCGGCUCACUGGCCCGAUACUGACGCUGAGGCACGAAAGCGUGGGGAGCAAACAGG